AGUUUGGAUAGGCUCUUGAAACCUUACAUGUUUGCUCUUGAUUGGACUCUAUUGAGCUUAUAUCUAACCAAAGCAUAAAAUCAUUUGUGUUAUAGACCAGGUUACUACGUACUUAUACCACGUUCAUUUUUAGCAGCAAGAGUCUUGAUUUACUCCUUUGUUGUAUGAACUGUUUGUUUCUUCGUUAAUGUUUUCAUUACUUGUAGAACAACAAAAAUCAUUUCCGACCCCUAAAUCUAGGCCUCUUCUUGGGUAUUGAUAACUCAAAAAGUUUAAUGUACUAAAAUUAUGUCAAUUUGUAAUGUCUAUUUAACCGAGUUUAUGUUUUCUAGGUCUGGGCGUUCGGGUACCCGUUGGCAUUCGGAUCGGGUUUUUCGGGUUUUCGGAUUUUCGGGUUUACGCUUC
rnacentral:lncRNA from 1 species